rnacentral:rRNA from 1 species
UACGUAGGUGGCAAGCGAUACUCGGAAUCACUAGGCGUAAAGCGCAGGUAGGCGGUUUGGUAAGUCUUUUGUGAAAGCUCCCGGCUCAACUGGGAGAGGUCAAGGGAAACUACCGGACUAGAGUGUGGUAGGGGAUACUGGAAUUCCUGGUGUAGCGGUGAAAUGCGUAGAUAUCAGGAGGAAUACCUAUGGCGAAAGCAGGUAUCUGGGCCAUACCUGACACUGAAACACGAAAGCGUGGGUAGCGAAUGGG